rnacentral:tRNA from 1 species
GGAGUGUUACUCAAGUUGGUGAAGAGGAGAGAUUGCUAAUCUUUUAGUACGCUAUAUGCGUAGCACAGGUUCGAGUCCUGUACACUCCG